CUUGUUUGAUCGCAGCGAGCUCGACGGCCAGGCGUCUGGUGGUGAUGAUAAUGAUGAUGAUGACUGGAUCUUGGAGGAGGAGCAGGGAAGUCCAGAGAGGCCCUGGUCACAAAGCUUAGCCACAAUAUUUUCUCCCCUGUUUUCAGAGGUAAUGCCUCCAUGAGGACCCGAAUGCGGUGAAGGAAUGCAUGUUAUUGAUAGUUUAUUACACAUUAAUUAAAAGAGAGCUGUUUUUCUCACAGUUAAAGGAUAAAGGCGUCUCCAGUAAUGGCAAACCUGAAGCGGCCGCAGAGCUGCAGAAGACUCUCCUCCUGGCUGAAGAUAUUCACCCAGGGAUCUGUGACUCCCUCGUAGCUGAGCUAGUGCAGAGACUCCAGAGGUUUUCUGUGCCACAUGCAGCUGCUGCUCAGUGAGACUCGUUCACCGUCUCAGCUCCACUUUUCCACUCCAGUGGCUACAAUCAGAUUUCCUGCUCCAUCCUCCACAGCUAGGAUGAAGUUUCACUGGUGGAUGUCCAUCACUCAUCUGCCUGAUGCAAAACCCUGGACUAAGUCAAUGUGUGUUAGCUCAGGCAGCUAGCAUAGCAUCGGAGGGUCCUCCUAUUCAGGACAGCCAGGGGCCAUUGAGUCGGCUGUUGUUUCCCUUUACGUCCUCGGCUGUUUUCUGUUCAGAAUGGACUAAACUUUCUUCCUGUAGGACUGCAGACGCUCUUUAGAAUUUAUAGAUUUAUUUUGUCAAAGGUUUACAUUCAGCUUAAUUGAGGAGGAAAAUUUGCUUAGCUAAUCUUAUUGUUUAUGUGUGGCUGGAAUGGUUCAUCUCAGGUAUCCUGGGUCCUUUAGGAGAUGUGGAAAGUUUUACUGGGUGGUUUUUACAGACUCCACAUAUCAGGCCUGAUAAAAUAAUGGUUGUUUGGAUCCAUGGUGUACAAACGGCCAAAUGAAAACUGUAGACAAUGAACAUGAGGGGAAUGUUUUAGGACUAAAGUGGCCACACAUGAGAUUGCCUUGCGUCUGUACCUUUUUUUGUUUUUCUAUGUCUGUCUAAUCCUCUCAGAGAUUGAAACACCUAGUGUUUGUCUAAAUGUUAGAACUUUUCUUUUUUCUGUUAAUUCUAGGUUUCACACUGGUGGCUGUAAUUUAUUUGGAGAAUGUAACAAUUGGCUCCUCUCGACACUCAGGUGCUGCUUUCUGUUCUGAUUUCCUGGGAACGACUUGUUUUGUUAGUUUUUAUUUAGGUAUUUAAUCAUAUGUUGAUAUAAAUCCCAACAGCAGAGCAGUGCCAUCAUUUAGUUAUUAGAAAAGUAGCGGCGGCGGUAUAAUAUUUUUUUUUCCUGUACCUGCAGCGUUCAUUGCACUGUAAGUAUAAAAUGCCUUUGACUUUGAACAAAGUAGCCAUAAAACAGUAGCAUGGGAU
rnacentral:lncRNA from 1 species